AACGCUAGCUACAGGCUUAACACAUGCAAGUCGAGGGGCAGCAUAUUUAUAGCAAUAUAAAUGAUGGCGACCGGCGCACGGGUGAGUAACACGUAUCCAACCUGCCGUUUACUCGGGGAUAGCCUUUCGAAAGAAAGAUUAAUACCCGAUGGCAUAUAUUGAUUUCAUGGUCUUUAUAUUAAAGAAUUUCGGUAAACGAUGGGGAUGCGUUCCAUUAGGCAGUUGGCGGGGUAACGGCCCACCAAACCUACGAUGGAUAGGGGUUCUGAGAGGAAGGUCCCCCACAUUGGAACUGAGACACGGUCCAAACUCCUACGGGAGGCAGCAGUGAGGAAUAUUGGUCAAUGGGCGUAGGCCUGAACCAGCCAAGUAGCGUGAAGGAUGACUGCCCUAUGGGUUGUAAACUUCUUUUAUAAGGGAAUAAAGUGGAGUAUGUAUACUCUUUUGUAUGUACCUUAUGAAUAAGGAUCGGCUAACUCCGUGCCAGCAGCCGCGGUAAUACGGAGGAUCCGAGCGUUAUCCGGAUUUAUUGGGUUUAAAGGGAGCGUAGGCGGAUGUUUAAGUCAGUUGUGAAAGUUUAAGGCUCAACCUUGAAAUUGCAGUUGAUACUGGACGUCUUGAGUGCAUUAAAUGUGGGCGGAAUUCGUGGUGUAGCGGUGAAAUGCUUAGAUAUCACGAAGAACUCCGAUUG
rnacentral:rRNA from 1 species